GGUUAAGCGACUAAGCGUACACGGUGGAUGCCCUGGCAGUCAGAGGCGAUGAAGGACGUGCUAAUCUGCGAUAAGCGUCGGUAAGGUGAUAUGAACCGUUAUAACCGGCGAUUUCCGAAUGGGGAAACCCAGUGUGAUUCGUCACACUAUCAUUAACUGAAUCCAUAGGUUAAUGAGGCGAACCGGGGGAACUGAAACAUCUAAGUACCCCGAGGAAAAGAAAUCAACCGAGAUUCCCCCAGUAGCGGCGAGCGAACGGGGAGCAGCCCAGAGCCUGAAUCAGUGUGUGUGUUAGUGGAAGCGUCUGGAAAGGCGCGCGAUACAGGGUGACAGCCCCGUACACAAAAAUGCACAUGCUGUGAGCUCGAUGAGUAGGGCGGGACACGUGGUAUCCUGUCUGAAUAUGGGGGGACCAUCCUCCAAGGCUAAAUACUCCUGACUGACCGAUAGUGAACCAGUACCGUGAGGGAAAGGCGAAAAGAACCCCGGCGAGGGGAGUGAAAAAGAACCUGAAACCGUGUACGUACAAGCAGUGGGAGCACAGAGCAAUCUGUGUGACUGCGUACCUUUUGUAUAAUGGGUCAGCGACUUAUAUUCUGUAGCAAGGUUAACCGAAUAGGGGAGCCGAAGGGAAACCGAGUCUUAACUGGGCGUUAAGUUGCAGGGUAUAGACCCGAAACCCGGUGAUCUAGCCAUGGGCAGGUUGAAGGUUGGGUAACACUAACUGGAGGACCGAACCGACUAAUGUUGAAAAAUUAGCGGAUGACUUGUGGCUGGGGGUGAAAGGCCAAUCAAACCGGGAGAUAGCUGGUUCUCCCCGAAAGCUAUUUAGGUAGCGCCUCGUGAAUUCAUCUCCGGGGGUAGAGCACUGUUUCGGCAAGGGGGUCAUCCCGACUUACCAACCCGAUGCAAACUGCGAAUACCGGAGAAUGUUAUCACGGGAGACACACGGCGGGUGCUAACGUCCGUCGUGAAGAGGGAAACAACCCAGACCGCCAGCUAAGGUCCCAAAGUCAUGGUUAAGUGGGAAACGAUGUGGGAAGGCCCAGACAGCCAGGAUGUUGGCUUAGAAGCAGCCAUCAUUUAAAGAAAGCGUAAUAGCUCACUGGUCGAGUCGGCCUGCGCGGAAGAUGUAACGGGGCUAAACCAUGCACCGAAGCUGCGGCAGCGACGCUUAUGCGUUGUUGGGUAGGGGAGCGUUCUGUAAGCCUGCGAAGGUGUGCUGUGAGGCAUGCUGGAGGUAUCAGAAGUGCGAAUGCUGACAUAAGUAACGAUAAAGCGGGUGAAAAGCCCGCUCGCCGGAAGACCAAGGGUUCCUGUCCAACGUUAAUCGGGGCAGGGUGAGUCGACCCCUAAGGCGAGGCCGAAAGGCGUAGUCGAUGGGAAACAGGUUAAUAUUCCUGUACUUGGUGUUACUGCGAAGGGGGGACGGAGAAGGCUAUGUUGGCCGGGCGACGGUUGUCCCGGUUUAAGCGUGUAGGCUGGUUUUCCAGGCAAAUCCGGAAAAUCAAGGCUGAGGCGUGAUGACGAGGCACUACGGUGCUGAAGCAACAAAUGCCCUGCUUCCAGGAAAAGCCUCUAAGCAUCAGGUAACAUCAAAUCGUACCCCAAACCGACACAGGUGGUCAGGUAGAGAAUACCAAGGCGCUUGAGAGAACUCGGGUGAAGGAACUAGGCAAAAUGGUGCCGUAACUUCGGGAGAAGGCACGCUGAUAUGUAGGUGAAGUCCCUCGCGGAUGGAGCUGAAAUCAGUCGAAGAUACCAGCUGGCUGCAACUGUUUAUUAAAAACACAGCACUGUGCAAACACGAAAGUGGACGUAUACGGUGUGACGCCUGCCCGGUGCCGGAAGGUUAAUUGAUGGGGUCAGCGCAAGCGAAGCUCUUGAUCGAAGCCCCGGUAAACGGCGGCCGUAACUAUAACGGUCCUAAGGUAGCGAAAUUCCUUGUCGGGUAAGUUCCGACCUGCACGAAUGGCGUAAUGAUGGCCAGGCUGUCUCCACCCGAGACUCAGUGAAAUUGAACUCGCUGUGAAGAUGCAGUGUACCCGCGGCAAGACGGAAAGACCCCGUGAACCUUUACUAUAGCUUGACACUGAACAUUGAGCCUUGAUGUGUAGGAUAGGUGGGAGGCUUUGAAGUGUGGACGCCAGUCUGCAUGGAGCCGACCUUGAAAUACCACCCUUUAAUGUUUGAUGUUCUAACGUUGACCCGUAAUCCGGGUUGCGGACAGUGUCUGGUGGGUAGUUUGACUGGGGCGGUCUCCUCCUAAAGAGUAACGGAGGAGCACGAAGGUUGGCUAAUCCUGGUCGGACAUCAGGAGGUUAGUGCAAUGGCAUAAGCCAGCUUGACUGCGAGCGUGACGGCGCGAGCAGGUGCGAAAGCAGGUCAUAGUGAUCCGGUGGUUCUGAAUGGAAGGGCCAUCGCUCAACGGAUAAAAGGUACUCCGGGGAUAACAGGCUGAUACCGCCCAAGAGUUCAUAUCGACGGCGGUGUUUGGCACCUCGAUGUCGGCUCAUCACAUCCUGGGGCUGAAGUAGGUCCCAAGGGUAUGGCUGUUCGCCAUUUAAAGUGGUACGCGAGCUGGGUUUAGAACGUCGUGAGACAGUUCGGUCCCUAUCUGCCGUGGGCGCUGGAGAACUGAGGGGGGCUGCUCCUAGUACGAGAGGACCGGAGUGGACGCAUCACUGGUGUUCGGGUUGUCAUGCCAAUGGCACUGCCCGGUAGCUAAAUGCGGAAGAGAUAAGUGCUGAAAGCAUCUAAGCACGAAACUUGCCCCGAGAUGAGUUCUCCCUGACUCCUUGAGAGUCCUGAAGGAACGUUGAAGACGACGACGUUGAUAGGCCGG
rnacentral:rRNA from 1 species